GCCGGGUGCAGUGGUGUGUGCCUGUAAUCCUAGCUUCUUGGGAGGCUGAGGCAGGAGGAUGGCUUGAGCCUGGGAGUUGGAGGCUGCAGUGAGCGAUGAUCGCACCACCGCACUCCAGCCUGGGCAACACAGCCAGACUUCAUCUCUA
rnacentral:SRP_RNA from 1 species